UGAAUAUCCCUCAAACAAAGGAUUUUAUAGGAUGCUAAUAUACAGGAUAGAGGAUAUGCCAAAAAUCUGUGUGGGUCAAAAAGUGACUGGAAGGAAGAAAAGAAUCCACCAAAGAAAAUCCUUAGAGGAAAAUUCUGUCACAUAGAAAGAUUUCACCUCAGCUUCAGCGGAUCCUUGAACCACAAAUAGCUGCAGGCUGGGAAAGUAUUCUGGGGAAUAUGGUUGUGUUCUGUAAAUAUUGGCUGUGGGCAAUGUUGAAGGACGUGAGACUACGUGCAUGUUCAUUUUGAGCUGGACCAGCCAUUCUUGUGUAUCUGUUAUUUGUGUGUUUUCAAAAAGAAAAAAAAAAGAAAAAAAAAGAAAAGCUCUCUGAGAGACACUUCUCUCUUUCUAUUUUUUGUUAUUCCAAUCCAGUCUGUUUUCGGGGCCAGGGAGGGAGACACUGGAGGAUCUCAGUGCCCCUAGGCAGAUGGCGAAUGAGGGAGAAGUGCCUGCGGGGCUGAGGCUGGCGGCGUCUCUUUCAGACCAACAUGCCUUGGUCCCCCUGCAGCUGGGAAGAGCACAGAGCUUGUUAGUAAGGUACAGGUGUCAGCAGAUAAUGAACAGGAUUGUUGUAAAAAAACAAAACAAACAAAAAAACAUGGAAUAAGAAACAAUUUAUUUAUGAUGUAUUGACAAGGAUAUGGAAAAAAUCCCAAGAGACCAUAACAGGAAGACACAAUAUCAUGGCUAAUAACAUGCUAAAUAAAUUUUAUUUUAUGAUGAAAC
rnacentral:lncRNA from 1 species